rnacentral:lncRNA from 11 species
GAGAAAAGGCGGGAAGAAGAAGCGGAGCCCUCCAUUUUAUCCCCCCCCUCCCCUCCCCGCGCGCGCCGUCUCCCAUGGUUACAUAACGUCCAGCGCGGCUUCUCGCGAGAGUUUCUAGCUCCUCCUCGCUCCCCCCUCCCCCCUCAGCCCCCACGUCACCGGGAGACCAGACGGGGACAACAUGGCGGAGCGGAGGAGGCACAGGAAGCGGGUCCAGCCACAACUUUACUGGAUUGGUGCUUAAUCAGCUUUCCAAUGGUAAUUCCGAAAAGACCAGUUCAAGGCCCCACUCACUUCUCACAUGAUUCUUUGGGUUUUAAUCAGAUUUCUUACAUUGGAGAGGUCUUCAAAUAGAGGACCACCUCACGUGAAAUAGUGCACAUGGGCAUCCUAUUUGUUAUAUAACAAAGCUGCUAUAUGUCUAGAUAAGCUGCUAUAUGUCUAGACUUUUUAGAGCCAGGCCUGAAUUGAACACAAUGUAGUGUAAGCCAAAGGAGUUAUUGAG